UACGUAGGGGGCGAGCGUUGUCCGGAAUUACUGGGCGUAAAGCGCACGCAGGCGGUCUCUUAAGUUCCUGAUGACAGUCAUCGGCUUAACCGGUGAAGCCUGGGGAAAACUAAGAGACUUGAGGGCGAGAGAGGGAUACGGAACUCCGAGUGCAGCAGUGAAAUGCGUAGAUAUUCGGAAGAACACCAAAGGCGAAGGCAGUAUCCUGGCUCGCUUCUGACGCUCAAGUGCGAAAGCCAGGGGAGCGAACGGG
rnacentral:rRNA from 1 species